GGUUAAGCGACUAAGCGUACACGGUGGAUGCCCUGGCAGUCAGAGGCGAUGAAGGGCGUGCUAAUCUGCGAUAAGCGCCGGUAAGGUGAUAUGAACCGUUAUAACCGGCGAUACCCGAAUGGGGAAACCCAGUGUGACUCGUCACACUAUCAUUAACUGAAUCCAUAGGUUAAUGAGGCGAACCGGGGGAACUGAAACAUCUAAGUACCCCGAGGAAAAGAAAUCAACCGAGAUUCCCCCAGUAGCGGCGAGCGAACGGGGAGGAGCCCAGAGCCUGAAUCAGCAUGUGUGUUAGUGGAAGCGUCUGGAAAGGCGCGCGAUACAGGGUGACAGCCCCGUACACAAAAGCGCAUGUGCUGUGAGCUCGAUGAGUAGGGCGGGACACGUGGUAUCCUGUCUGAAUAUGGGGGGACCAUCCUCCAAGGCUAAAUACUCCUGACUGACCGAUAGUGAACCAGUACCGUGAGGGAAAGGCGAAAAGAACCCCGGCGAGGGGAGUGAAAAAGAACCUGAAACCGUGUACGUACAAGCAGUGGGAGCACAGGUUUACCUGUGUGACUGCGUACCUUUUGUAUAAUGGGUCAGCGACUUAUAUUCUGUAGCAAGGUUAACCGAAUAGGGGAGCCGCAGGGAAACCGAGUCUUAAUUGGGCGUUAAGUUGCAGGGUAUAGACCCGAAACCCGGUGAUCUAGCCAUGGGCAGGUUGAAGGUUGGGUAACACUAACUGGAGGACCGAACCGACUAAUGUUGAAAAAUUAGCGGAUGACCUGUGGCUGGGGGUGAAAGGCCAAUCAAACCGGGAGAUAGCUGGUUCUCCCCGAAAGCUAUUUAGGUAGCGCCUCGUGAAUUCAUCUCCGGGGGUAGAGCACUGUUUCGGCUAGGGGGCCAUCCCGGCUUACCAACCCGAUGCAAACUGCGAAUACCGGAGAAUGUUAUCACGGGAGACACACGGCGGGUGCUAACGUCCGUCGUGAAGAGGGAAACAACCCAGACCGCCAGCUAAGGUCCCAAAGUCAUGGUUAAGUGGGAAACGAUGUGGGAAGGCCCAGACAGCCAGGAUGUUGGCUUAGAAGCAGCCAUCAUUUAAAGAAAGCGUAAUAGCUCACUGGUCGAGUCGGCCUGCGCGGAAGAUGUAACGGGGCUAAACCAUGCACCGAAGCUGCGGCAGCGACGCUGAUGCGUUGUUGGGUAGGGGAGCGUUCUGUAAGCCUGUGAAGGUGGCCUGUGAGGGUUGCUGGAGGUAUCAGAAGUGCGAAUGCUGACAUAAGUAACGAUAAAGCGGGUGAAAAGCCCGCUCGCCGGAAGACCAAGGGUUCCUGUCCAACGUUAAUCGGGGCAGGGUGAGUCGACCCCUAAGGCGAGGCCGAAAGGCGUAGUCGAUGGGAAACGGGUUAAUAUUCCCGUACUUGGUGUUACUGCGAAGGGGGGACGGAGAAGGCUAUGUUGGCCGGGCGACGGUUGUCCCGGUUUAAGCGUGUAGGUGUGUGUUCCAGGUAAAUCCGGUUCACUUUAACACUGAGGCGUGAUGACGAGGCACUACGGUGCUGAAGCAACAAAUGCCCUGCUUCCAGGAAAAGCCUCUAAGCAUCAGGUAACAUCAAAUCGUACCCCAAACCGACACAGGUGGUCAGGUAGAGAAUACCAAGGCGCUUGAGAGAACUCGGGUGAAGGAACUAGGCAAAAUGGUGCCGUAACUUCGGGAGAAGGCACGCUGACACGUAGGUGAAGUGAUUUACUCACGGAGCUGAAGUCAGUCGAAGAUACCAGCUGGCUGCAACUGUUUAUUAAAAACACAGCACUGUGCAAACACGAAAGUGGACGUAUACGGUGUGACGCCUGCCCGGUGCCGGAAGGUUAAUUGAUGGGGUCAGCGCAAGCGAAGCUCCUGAUCGAAGCCCCGGUAAACGGCGGCCGUAACUAUAACGGUCCUAAGGUAGCGAAAUUCCUUGUCGGGUAAGUUCCGACCUGCACGAAUGGCGUAAUGAUGGCCAGGCUGUCUCCACCCGAGACUCAGUGAAAUUGAACUCGCUGUGAAGAUGCAGUGUACCCGCGGCAAGACGGAAAGACCCCGUGAACCUUUACUAUAGCUUGACACUGAACAUUGAGCCUUGAUGUGUAGGAUAGGUGGGAGGCUUUGAAGUGUGGACGCCAGUCUGCAUGGAGCCGACCUUGAAAUACCACCCUUUAAUGUUUGAUGUUCUAACGUGGACCCGUAAUCCGGGUUGCGGACAGUGUCUGGUGGGUAGUUUGACUGGGGCGGUCUCCUCCUAAAGAGUAACGGAGGAGCACGAAGGUUGGCUAAUCCUGGUCGGACAUCAGGAGGUUAGUGCAAUGGCAUAAGCCAGCUUGACUGCGAGCGUGACGGCGCGAGCAGGUGCGAAAGCAGGUCAUAGUGAUCCGGUGGUUCUGAAUGGAAGGGCCAUCGCUCAACGGAUAAAAGGUACUCCGGGGAUAACAGGCUGAUACCGCCCAAGAGUUCAUAUCGACGGCGGUGUUUGGCACCUCGAUGUCGGCUCAUCACAUCCUGGGGCUGAAGUAGGUCCCAAGGGUAUGGCUGUUCGCCAUUUAAAGUGGUACGCGAGCUGGGUUUAGAACGUCGUGAGACAGUUCGGUCCCUAUCUGCCGUGGGCGCUGGAGAACUGAGGGGGGCUGCUCCUAGUACGAGAGGACCGGAGUGGACGCAUCACUGGUGUUCGGGUUGUCAUGCCAAUGGCACUGCCCGGUAGCUAAAUGCGGAAGAGAUAAGUGCUGAAAGCAUCUAAGCACGAAACUUGCCCCGAGAUGAGUUCUCCCUGAGACUUAGAGUCUCCUGAAGGAACGUUGAAGACGACGACGUUGAUAGGCCGGGUGUGUAAGCGCAGCGAUGCGUUGAGCUAACCGGUACUAAUGAACCGUGAGGCUUAACCUU
rnacentral:rRNA from 1 species